UGGAAAUUCCACCUACAACCUCAAUCC
rnacentral:piRNA from 1 species